rnacentral:rRNA from 1 species
AUUGAACGCUGGCGGCAGGCCUAACACAUGCAAGUCGAGCGGAUGAAGGGAGCUUGCUCCUGGAUUCAGCGGCGGACGGGUGAGUAAUGCCUAGGAAUCUGCCUGGUCGUGGGGGAUAACGUCCGGAAACGGGCGCUAAUACCGCAUCCGUCCUGAGGGAGAAAGUGGGGGUUCUUGGGACCUACCGCUAUUGGAUGAACCUAGGUCGGAUUAGCUAGUUGGUGGGGUAAAGGCCUACCAAGGCGACGAUCCGUAACUGGUCUGAGAGGAUGAUCAGUCACACUGGAACUGAGACACGGUCCAGACUCCUACGGGAGGCAGCAGUGGGGAAUAUUGGACAAUGGGCGAAAGCCUGAUCCAGCCAUGCCGCGUGUGUGAAGAAGGUCUUCGGAUUGUAAAGCACUUUAAGUUGGGAGGAAGGGCAGUAAGUUAAUACCUUGCUGUUUUGACGUUACCAACAGAAUAAGCACCGGCUAACUUCGUG